rnacentral:tRNA from 1 species
GCCGGUUUGGCUCAGUGGAAAGAGCGUUGGCCUGCGGACCGAAGGGUUUGAUUCCAGUCAAGGGCUCAAUCCCCUUAGGGGGCA